GUACGCUGGACGGCGUGCUUACACCUGCAGUUUAACGAACUUCGGGUUAGUGGCGGACGGGUGCAGUACCCGCGUGAGAAUCUGCCUCAGGAGCGGGGACAACAGCUGGAAACGGCUGCUAAUACCCCAUAUGCCGCGAGGUGAAAUGAAUUUCGCCUGAGGAUGAGCUCGCGUCUGAUUAGCUAGUUGGUGUAGGUAAUGGCUCACCAAGGCAUCGAUCAGUAGCUGGUCUGAGAGGAUGAUCAGCCACACUGGGACUGAGACACGGCCCAGACUCCUACGGGAGGCACGCAGUGGGGAAUUUUCCGCAAUGGGCGAAAGCCUGACGGAGCAACGCCGCGUGACGGGAUGAAGGCCUCUGGGCUGUAAACCUCUUUUAUCAACGGAAGAAGAUCUGACGGUACUUGAUGAAUAAGCCACGGCUAAUUCCGUGCCAGCAGCCGCGGUAAUACGGGAGUGGCAAGCGUUAUCCAGGAAUUAUGGGCGUAAACGCCGUACCAGCAGGCGGCCCUUCAAGUCUGACUGUUAAACAGUGGACGCUUAACUCCAUCAUGGCCAGUGCGAACACUGUUGGGCUUGAGUGUAGGUAACGGGCAGAGGGAAUUCCCGGUUGUAGACAGGUGAAAUGCGUAGAUAUCGGGAAGAACAACAGUGGCGACGGCCGCAU
rnacentral:rRNA from 1 species